UACGGGGGGGGUAAGCGUUGUUCGGAAUUACUGGGCGUAAAGGGCUCGUAGGCGGCCAACUAAGUCAUACGUGAAAUCCCUCAGCUUAACUGGGGAACUGCGUGUGAUACUGGAUGGCUUGGAUUUGGGAGAGGGAUGCGGAAUUCCAGGUGUAGCGGUGAAAUGCGCAGAUAUCAGGAGGAACACCGGUGGCGAAGGCGGGUCUCUGGGCCGAUACUGACGCUGAGGAGCGAAAGCGUGGGGAGCAAACGGG
rnacentral:rRNA from 1 species